UNGUCAGCCUGAAAAGGUGUCAGUAGGUAC
rnacentral:piRNA from 1 species